rnacentral:rRNA from 1 species
UUAACAUUUGGAAACAAAUGCUAAUACCGUAUAAUAAUUAAAACCGCAUGGUUUUAGUUUAAAAGAUGGUCUUGCUAUCACUAAGAGAUGGUCCCGCGUGUAUUAGUUAGUUGGUGAGGUAAUGGCUCACCAAGACAAUGAUACAUAGCCGAGUUGAGAGACUGACCGGCCACAAUGGGACUGAGACACGGCCCAUACUCCUACGGAGGCAGCAGUAGGGAAUCUUCCACAAUGGACGAAAGUCUGAUGGAGCAACGCCGCGUGUGUGAUGAAGGGUUUCGGCUCGUAAAACACUGUUGUAAGAGAAGAAUGACAUUGAGAGUAACUGUUCAAUGUGUGACGGUAUCUUACCAGAAAGGAACGGCUAAAUACGUG